GUUGGUUUGUCAAUUGAAAAUGUGUAGAUCUUGCAUUAUUAUGGUGUUAUAUUAUGAUUAUACAUUCAAAGACAUAAAAUGGUCUUAAAAUGACAAUGACAUAACUUGUCGCAAUUGUUUAUGGGGCAAUAUACCGACCAACAAAAAGUUGUUAUCGUAACAGGCCUUCAAAACAGACGGUUUUAUGAUUGAUAAAUUCAAAAAUAAAUACAUUUAAUUUCUCUGAGAUUCUCUAAUAUUCAGUUACAGUUCACAACACAGCUACCUGUACAUGCAGUAUUAUACUGUAAAUAUAAAUCUCUGCAUUUAGCAUCCCACUAGAACAGUUACUGCCUUUUUUUUUUUUUUUUUUUUUUUUUUUUUUUACAAAUACCUGUACUAUUACUAACACAUUUACUGUUUUACUUUUAGCCUGUGGAUACAAAUGCAGAUUUCCUUAAUGUAAGUUGUGCAUUUUAAUUGCAUCAUGUUAUUUUUAUUAUUAUUUAUUUAUUUAUCUAUUUUAUUUUACAUUCAAAUAUGAUUGCUAGUAGGUAAAGAAUAGUUCACCUAUAAUUGAUAUUCCCAAUUAAUUUCUCACCUCUGAUUGAAUGCCUUUGUUUGUUUGCCUUUUUUGACUAUAACAAAACAUUUUUGCAGGAUAUAUAUGGUGAAUUUAUAUGCAUAGAUACAGUCGUAGUGCUUGACACAUGCACACAGCAGUAGAUGUACUAAAAAGGAAAUAAUUACAAUCAUGAUGUUGAUUGCUGAUGUCAGUAUAUAUAUUUUAGGGGAAUGUUUUGUUUUUCACCCAAAAUGAACUAUAUUGCUUCAGAAGAGAUUUAUUACUCUGCCUGACUCUUAUAUAUUGUUCUGUUUUUUGUUUGUUUUUGUUGUUUUCAGGUUCAAUGGUGUGUGUUCUUCUAAUGGCCGCCUUCCCACUGGAGGUUUUGAUCCACAGCAAUUUAAAAGGAGGACAAAUCAAAACGGACAUCGGCGCAGAGUGAAGAACUGCCCUUCAUAAGGACACUAUGACAGCCAUAUAUAGUAAGUGAAGACUUUCUGUGUAUCUAAAAUUGCAUACAGCACAAGUAACUUACUUUACAACCUAUUUUAAUGGUUGCAAAGUAAGUUACCAAUACAAAUAGGUGAUGAUGCAUUGUAGUGGUUGGUCUCAGACAAAGAAGGUCAACAGAUUUAUGAAUGCUGGAGGGUAAGGAGAGACAACCAAAAGGGGUGUUAGCAUUACUGUAAUGUGAACUGGAUAGACUUUCCAUCUAGGAAAAAAAGGGGUAAAAUUAUGCGUAAAAUAUAUCUGUAUUAAUAUCUGUAUCUAUAUAAACAGAAAUAUCUGUUUGCUAAAUGAAGCCAGCUAACAUAAAUCAUAUUUUUAUUUUAACUCUGAUAAAAGUAAUAGAACUGUG
ensembl:lncRNA